rnacentral:rRNA from 1 species
CAGUCGCCGCGGGAAUACGUAGGUGGCAAGCGUUGUCCGGAAUUAUUGGGCGUAAAGGGCUCGCAGGCGGUUUCUUAAGUCAGAUGUGAAAGCCCCCGGUUCAACCGGGGAGGGUCAUUGGAAACUGGGAAACUUGAGUGCAGAAGAGGAGAGUGGAAUUCCACGUGUAGCGGUGAAAUGCGUAGAGAUGUGGAGGAACACCAGUGGCGAAGGCGACUCUCUGGUCUGUAACUGACGCUGAGGAGCGAAAGCGUGGGGAGCGAACAGGAUUAGAUACCCCAGUAGUCCCUGUCUCUUAUAC